UGAAGGGCCGCGGUAUUUUGACCGUGCAAAGGUAGCAUAAUCAUUAGUUCUUUAAUUGUGAUCUGGAAUGAAUGGCUUGACGAGACACGAGCUGUCUUAAGUUUGGAUAUUUUAUUGAAUUUGGUUUUUGAGUUAAAAUUCUUAAAUGUUUUUAUGGGACGAGAAGACCCUAUAGAGUUUAACAUAUUGGUUUAAUUUAUUUAUUUGGUUUGUUUUCUUUUGUAAGUGGACCUUUUGUUUUGUUGGGGUGAUGAGAGGAAUAUAAUUUAACUCCUCUUGGUUUUGGUUAUAUUGAUUUAUAUUUAUUUGAUCCAUUUAUUUUGAUUAUAAGAUUAAAUUACCU
rnacentral:rRNA from 1 species